UACGAAGGGGGCUAGCGUUGCUCGGAAUUACUGGGCGUAAAGGGGGCGUAGGCGGAUAGUUUAGUCAGAGGUGAAAGCCCAGGGCUCAACCUUGGAAUUGCCUUUGAUACUGGCUAUCUUGAGUACGGAAGAGGUAUGUGGAACUCCGAGUGUAGAGGUGAAAUUCGUAGAUAUUCGGAAGAACACCAGUGGCGAAGGCGACAUACUGGUCCGUUACUGACGCUGAGGCUCGAAAGCGUGGGGAGCAAACAGG
rnacentral:rRNA from 1 species